GCUGUGCAUUAACACCGGCUUGUCCCCGCAGUUCAAGUAAAUAAAUGGGAACGUCUGAGCUUCAUGUCUGCACCUAACACCGUGGUCUGCCCAACGAGCCGCGUCGAGGACCUGCUACGGGCAGAGCGCAGGAGGACAAACUGUUUCCACACACCCUGUGCUGCAACUGCAGAGACUCCUGAUGGGCACCCUCCCGGUACUUCCUGACUUUUCGAUCUUCGAUCUCAUCCGGCGGACGCUCAGUGGGAGACUGUGGCCAUGCUAUCCCUUCGUCCACAACGAGCCAGCUACGGGUUCCUGCCUUUUGCUUGCCUUCUGGGGAAUGCGUCGCGCAGCAAAGCCCAUCAACAUGGUCUGCCCUUCUGUCUUUGUUUGGGGACUCCCUUCUAUGUACCUUCUCAUCACUGCGCUUUCGCCUAUGGCGGAUGAAGAGAGGUUAACGGCCUGCAUCUUACCUUGCCCCGUCAAGCAUGCGACCCGAUUCCGGAUCUACCAGCUGCCCACGGAAUGCUGCGAAACAUUCUCACGUGUGAGUGCCCUCCUGGGUGGUGCCUGGUUCUCGGAACGGACGUAGCGCCGACAAGGGGCUCCUGUGAUGCUCCUGUUGUGGAGGGCACUCACACCCCACAGAAGCUUGGUCGCCUCCUUGCAGAACAAGCUGUCUCUCGGACGCAGAAGCAGCCAUGCCCAUUUCUCCUUCUUCAUGAAUAUGCCAUUUCCUAGGUGAAUCUGCGCAAAAAAAAAAAGUGGAAUCAUAAUUAAAAACUCAAGAGAUAUCUUGUUUUUGAAAAUGUUGUUGCGCUCUUCGGUCGUGCGAGUAUAGUUUUUGCUCAUAUGUAUUGAAAUAGUUCUGGUGAAUCUUACAUUUCACUUCUGCAACUGCAUGCCAUCUUGUAUAAUACUGGCAUAUACUAAAAGUUAUCCAAAUAUUCUUCUUAUUCUAAAGCAAGUACAGUUCACAGAAUGUAUGCAAGUCUACAGGUGCAUAUAGUGCUCAUUAAUGGCAAUACUACCCCAGCCCCCACAAGGAGAAUCAAUGAAUUUUAGAUACUAGAAGACUGGGCAAAAAGUGGGGUGGCAUAGUAAGUUAGAAAAACAUCAACACAAUCCUUAUUUAGAAAUUUUACACUAAUGUGGUUCCAGCGAAACAAAAAAAAAAGCAUUCCUUUCAAUGAUCAAUGAAAAACAAAUCACAUAUAUCAUUUCUGUCUUUAAGUCUCACCUGAACAGUUUGUGAGAAGCUGUAAGACAUUUUAGAAAGAAGCAUAUUUACAAUUUCGAGUGCUCUAUAUAUGUGUGGAAGUUAAAUUAACAACUAUGUAACAAAUCGUACAUUUGUGUUGGAUUUAUUUAUUUUGCUUGCUGUGAUUAUCGCCCACUCCCACAUUUCCCCUAUAGAAAAAUGUGGGGGUGGGCCAUAAUUACGGCAAAAAAAAAAAAACCUCGCAGUAGUAUUGGAAUAUGUUUCGACAUAUAUGGUACUAGUGUUUGCCGUUUUCCUUCAGUCUGUUGAAGUAGUUUUCUUCUGUAUGCUUUUGUAGAAAACAGAUACACGUACCCGAGGACAAUAUGUACUUUUUGAGUAAAGUUUCUCUAGCGAAAGUUCUAGAAUGUUGAUUGCCAAUCAAGAGAUCCUAAGUACGUCCUUCUUAUUGCCUCUUGAAUGUUUUCAAAGAGGCUUUUUUUUUUGGUUAGCCUUUAGGGUGGUGGUCUGGUGGAUCGAGCCUCGCGCAAUUCGCAGACAAUUGCCCCAACCUGUUGGUUUUUGCAAGCUCUAAAUGUUCACCAUUAUAUUACUGGAAUAAAAAUAAAUGCGGGGAAUAAACUUUCUUAAACCUGUCGAUCACUAUGUAGUAGGAUGGCGCUCCAGUAGACUGGAGAAGCGCUGCCCAGGUAACUAAAACAUGGCCACUGGUCGUGUCGGUGACUGAAGAAACAGUCCUGUUCAUGCAGUCGGCAAUGUCAUCGAACGAAAUGACUGGUUGUUGACCACCAGAGCACAUGCCCAUUGGUGCAGGCUUGUGUGCGACCGCCUUUGAGGAGGAAAUUAUGUUCUCUUGUUGCAGUCUAGUAAGAGGCAAGAUUCACUUUAGUCCCUAUUAGUGCGACAUCCUGAUGUUCACAGAUAUUGAUUGCUCAAUGUCUUAUUAUGCUGUUCUGCACAUUUCCAGUUGUACAAUGUCUUCCAUUGCUCCACAUCUACCAAGUACUUUUAGGCCUCUACCAUUUAGCGCUUUUCUUCCUACGGCCAAGACAUGUUGCUACAUAUGGCUUGUUCGAUUGAGAGUAUUUAGCAGUAAUGUGCUGCUAAUUCUAAUUCACAGUACUACCAGAUGCUGUCUUUGCCCCGUAAAGUGUGAAUUUCGAUAUAACUGCCAUAUAUGUGACUUCACUAUUCGUGCGGUUUUUGAACAGAGUCUUUGUCAAGGGACUUGUCUUAUUGUGUUUGUUUACAUUCUUUGUUUCAAAAAAAUCUGUAGUUGCUGCAAUUCAUCUUAAUAAAACGUACAUUGUGUG